ACGAACGCUGGCGGCGUGCUUAACACAUGCAAGUCGAACGGAAAGGCCCUGCUUUUGUGGGGUGCUCGAGUGGCGAACGGGUGAGUAACACGUGAGUAACCUGCCCUUGACUUUGGGAUAACUUCAGGAAACUGGGGCUAAUACCGGAUAGGAGCUUCUGCUGCCUGGUGGGGGUUGGAAAGUUUCGGCGGUUGGGGAUGGACUUGCGGCUUAUCAGCUUGUUGGUGGGGUAGUGGCUUACCAAGGCUUUGACGGGUAGCCGGCCUGAGAGGGUGACCGGCCACAUUGGGACUGAGAUACGGCCCAGACUCCUACGGGAGGCAGCAGUGGGGAAUAUUGCACAAUGGGCGGAAGCCUGAUGCAGCAACGCCGCGUGCGGGAUGACGGCCUUCGGGUUGUAAACCGCUUUCGCCUGUGACGAAGCGUGAGUGACGGUAAUGGAUAAAGAAGCACCGGCUAACUACGUG
rnacentral:rRNA from 1 species